rnacentral:rRNA from 1 species
AUUGAACGCUGGCGGCAUGCUUUACACAUGCAAGUCGAACGGCAGCACGGGGGCAACCCUGGUGGCGAGUGGCGAACGGGUGAGUAACACAUCGGAACGUGUCCAGUUGUGGGGGAUAACCCAUCGAAAGGUGGGCUAAUACCGCAUGAGCUGGCAACAGGAAAGCGGGGGACCCGCAAGGGCCUUGUGCGAUUGGAGCGGCCGAUGUCCGAUUAGCUAGUUGGUGGGGUAAAGGCCUACCAAGGCUUCGAUCGGUAGCUGGUCUGAGAGGAUGAUCAGCCACACUGGGACUGAGACACGGCCCAGACUCCUACGGGAGGCAGCAGUGGGGAAUUUUGGACAAUGGGGGCAACCCUGAUCCAGCCAUGCCGCGUGAGUGCAGAAGG